rnacentral:rRNA from 1 species
UUGGAGGGCAAGUCUGGUGCCAGCAGCCGCGGUAAUUCCAGCUCCAAUAGCGUAUAUUAAAGUUGUUGCAGUUAAAAAGCUCGUAGUUGAAUUUCGGGGUUCUACCGUUGGUCGGGCUAUUGUCUGUACUGGCGUGUAGAAUUUCUACCUUCUGGGGAACUAUCAUGUUAUUAAUUUAGCGUGGUAGGAAACCAGGACCUUUACCUUGAAAAAAUUAGAGUGUUCAAAGCAGGCUUAUGUCUGAAUACAUUAGCAUGGAAUAAUAAAAUAGGACGGUGGUCCUGUUUUGUUGGUUUCUGAAUCACCGUAAUGAUUAAUAGGGAUAGUUGGGGGCAUUAGUAUUCAAUUGUCAGAGGUGAAAUUCUUGGAUUUAUUGAAGACUAACUACUGCGAAAGCAUUUGCCAAGGAUGUUUUCAUUAAUCAAGAACGAAAGUUAGGGGAUCGAAGACGAUCAGAUACCGUCGUAGUCUUAACCAUAAACUAUGCCGACUAGGGAUCGGAUGAUGUUAUUUUUAAUGACUCAUUCGGCGCCUUACGGGAAA